GAGUUUGAUCCUGGCUCAUGACGAACGCUGGCGGCGUGCCUAAUACAUGCAAGUAGAACGCUGAAGAGAGGAGCUUGCUCUUCUUGGAUGAGUUGCGAACGGGUGAGUAACGCGUAGGUAACCUGCCUUGUAGCGGGGGAUAACUAUUGGAAACGAUAGCUAAUACCGCAUAACAAUGGAUGACCCAUGUCAUUUAUUUGAAAGGGGCAAAUGCUCCACUACAAGAUGGACCUGCGUUGUAUUAGCUAGUAGGCGAGGUAACGGCUCACCUAGGCGACGAUACAUAGCCGACCUGAGAGGGUGAUCGGCCACACUGGGACUGAGACACGGCCCAGACUCCUACGGGAGGCAGCAGUAGGGAAUCUUCGGCAAUGGGGGCAACCCUGACCGAGCAACGCCGCGUGAGUGAAGAAGGUUUUCGGAUCGUAAAGCUCUGUUGUAAGUCAAGAACGAGUGUGAGAGUGGAAAGUUCACACUGUGACGGUAGCUUACCAGAAAGGGACGGCUAACUACGUGCCAGCAGCCGCGGUAAUACGUAGGUCCCGAGCGUUGUCCGGAUUUAUUGGGCGUAAAGCGAGCGCAGGCGGUUUGAUAAGUCUGAAGUUAAAGGCUGUGGCUCAACCAUAGUUCGCUUUGGAAACUGUCAAACUUGAGUGCAGAAGGGGAGAGUGGAAUUCCAUGUGUAGCGGUGAAAUGCGUAGAUAUAUGGAGGAACACCGGUGGCGAAAGCGGCUCUCUGGUCUGUAACUGACGCUGAGGCUCGAAAGCGUGGGGAGCGAACAGGAUUAGAUACCCUGGUAGUCCACGCCGUAAACGAUGAGUGCUAGGUGUUGGAUCCUUUCCGGGAUUCAGUGCCGCAGCUAACGCAUUAAGCACUCCGCCUGGGGAGUACGACCGCAAGGUUGAAACUCAAAGGAAUUGACGGGGGCCCGCACAAGCGGUGGAGCAUGUGGUUUAAUUCGAAGCAACGCGAAGAACCUUACCAGGUCUUGACAUCCCGAUGCUAUUUCUAGAGAUAGAAAGUUACUUCGGUACAUCGGUGACAGGUGGUGCAUGGUUGUCGUCAGCUCGUGUCGUGAGAUGUUGGGUUAAGUCCCGCAACGAGCGCAACCCCUAUUGUUAGUUGCCAUCAUUCAGUUGGGCACUCUAGCGAGACUGCCGGUAAUAAACCGGAGGAAGGUGGGGAUGACGUCAAAUCAUCAUGCCCCUUAUGACCUGGGCUACACACGUGCUACAAUGGUUGGUACAACGAGUUGCGAGUCGGUGACGGCAAGCUAAUCUCUUAAAGCCAAUCUCAGUUCGGAUUGUAGGCUGCAACUCGCCUACAUGAAGUCGGAAUCGCUAGUAAUCGCGGAUCAGCACGCCGCGGUGAAUACGUUCCCGGGCCUUGUACACACCGCCCGUCACACCACGAGAGUUUGUAACACCCGAAGUCGGUGAGGUAACCUUUUGGAGCCAGCCGCCUAAGGUGGGAUAGAUGAUUGGGGUGAAGUCGUAACAAGGU
rnacentral:rRNA from 1 species